UAAUACAUGCAAGUCGAGCGAACAGACGAGGAGCUUGCUCCUCUGACGUUAGCGGCGGACGGGUGAGUAACACGUGGAUAACCUACCUAUAAGACUGGGAUAACUUCGGGAAACCGGAGCUAAUACCGGAUAAUAUAUUGAACCGCAUGGUUCAAUAGUGAAAGACGGUUUUGCUGUCACUUAUAGAUGGAUCCGCGCCGCAUUAGCUAGUUGGUAAGGUAACGGCUUACCAAGGCAACGAUGCGUAGCCGACCUGAGAGGGUGAUCGGCCACACUGGAACUGAGACACGGUCCAGACUCCUACGGGAGGCAGCAGUAGGGAAUCUUCCGCAAUGGGCGAAAGCUUGACGGAGCAACGCCGCGUGAGUGAUGAAGGUCUUCGGAUCGUAAAACUCUGUUAUUAGGGAAGAACAAAUGUGUAAGUAACUAUGCACGUCUUGACGGUACCUAAUCAGAAAGCCACGGCUAACUACGUGCCAGCAGUCGCGGUAAUACGUAGGUGGCAAGCGUUAUCCGGAAUUAUUGGGCGUAAAGCGCGCGUAGGCGGUUUUUUAAGUCUGAUGUGAAAGCCCACGGCUCAACCGUGGAGGGUCAUUGGAAACUGGAAAACUUGAGUGCAGAAGAGGAAAGUGGAAUUCCAUGUGUAGCGGUGAAAUGCGCAGAGAUAUGGAGGAACACCAGUGGCGAAGGCGACUUUCUGGUCUGUAACUGACGCUGAUGUGCGAAAGCGUGGGGAUCAAACAGGAUUAGAUACCCUGGUAGUCCACGCCGUAAACGAUGAGUGCUA
rnacentral:rRNA from 1 species